rnacentral:rRNA from 1 species
GUCCAGACUCCUACGGGAGGCAGCAGUGAGGAAUAUUGGUCAAUGGGCGGAAGCCUGAACCAGCCAAGUCGCGUGAGGGAAGAAGGCCCUGCGGGUCGCAGACCUCUUUGGACGGGGAGCAAGGCCGCCGACGUGUCGGCGGAAGGAGAGUACCCGUAGAACAAGCAUCGGCUAACUCCGUGCCAGCAGCCGCGGUAAUACGUAUGGGGCAAGCGUUAUCCGGAUUUACUGGGUGUAAAGGGAGCGCAGGCGGCGGGGCAAGUCAGAUGUGAAAGCCCGGGGCUCAACCCCGGGACUGCAUUUGAAACUGCCGUGCUGGAGUGUCGGAGAGGCAAGUGGAAUUCCUAGUGUAGCGGUGAAAUGCGUAGAUAUUAGGAGGAACCCCAGUGGCGAAGGCGGCUUGCUGGACGAUAACUGACGCUGAGGCUCGAAAGCGUGGGGAGCAAACAGGAUUAGAUACCCCGGUACU